CCAGGCAGUGCGGGAGAGACCCCCACAGGGGGCGCCGAAGGCGCAACUUCCGCCCGGAAACGCUCAGGCAAAAGGACCGCGCUGCCACA
rnacentral:ncRNA from 2 species